GACGAACGCUGGCGGCGUGCUUAACACAUGCAAGUCGAACGGAAAGGCCCUGCUUUUUUGGGGUUCUCGAGUGGCGAACGGGUGUGUAACACGUGAGUCACCUUCCCUUUACUUUGUGAUAUCUUCAGGCAACUGGUGCUAAUACCUGAUAGGUGCUCCUGCUGCAUGGUGGUCUUUGGAAAGUUUCGUCGGUUGGGGAUGUACUCGCGGGUUAUCAGCUUGUUGGUGGGGUAGUGGCUUACCAAGGCUUAGAAGGAUAGCCGGCCUGAGAGGGUGAACAGCGACAAGGGGACUGAGAGAGGGAGCAGAGGGGAACGGGAGGCAGCAGGGGGAAGUAUGGCACAAUGGGGGGAAGUGUGAGGAGGAAACGCCGGGAGCGGGAUGAAGGUCUAGGGGUGGGAAACGGCAGUAGGCUGAGACGAAGCGGGAGUGACGGUAAUGAGAAAAGAAGCACCGGCUAACUACGUG
rnacentral:rRNA from 1 species